rnacentral:rRNA from 1 species
UACGUAAGUGGCGAGCGUUAUUCGGAAUUAUUGGGCGUAAAGGGCGCGUAGGCGGCUUUGCGUGUCUUUCGUGAAAUCCCUCGGCUCAACUGAGGACGUGCGGAAGAAACUGCAGGGCUGGAGUCCGGGAGAGGAGGGUGGAAUUCCCAGUGUAGCGGUGAAAUGCGUAGAUAUUGGGAGGAACACCGGUGGCGAAGGCGGCCCUCUGGACCGGUACUGACGCUGAUGCGCGAAAGCGUGGGGAGCAAACGGG